rnacentral:lncRNA from 1 species
GAACAUGCUAAGUCCCUGGAAGCAGAGUUGUCUCGCACUCGAGGGGUUCUCAAGGAAUCUGACGAGAGGGCAGCUGCAGCUGAGGUCCGCUGUGAAGAAGUGUUGAAGCAGCUGUCCUCCAUGGUGGGGACCCUUCGUGAGAGAGAUGAGGCCAUAAGUCAGAGGGACGAGAUCCAUCGUCAGUAUGAGGCCCUGAAGGCUGAUUUCGAAGGAAUUCAGGCUCAUCUUGAUAAGGUGAAGAUUCAAAAGGAAGGGGCCCUAGCUCGGGUGGAAGUUCUCGAGCAGGAGCUGAGCAGGAGUUCUGAUCGUAUC